rnacentral:rRNA from 1 species
UACGGAGGGUGCGAGCGUUGUCCGGAAUCACUGGGCGUAAAGGGCGCGUAGGCGGUCUGUUAAGCGUGUGGUGAAAGCUCGGGGCUCAACCCCGAGUCUGCCAUGCGAACUGGUGGACUUGAGCACUGUAGAGGCAGGUGGAAUUCCGGGUGUAGCGGUGGAAUGCGUAGAGAUCCGGAAGAACACCGGUGGCGAAGGCGGCUUUCUGGACAGUAACUGACGCUGAGGCGCGAAAGCUAGGGGAGCAAACAGG